ACGAGCAGCCUCCUGCAAAGCAGGCUGAGCGAGCAACGACUGCAGCUGGGAAGAGAAAAUGGGAAGAAGUACUACUGCUGGUGUCAGCUCGGGGAAAUACUAUGUCCUAGUGCUGCAGGGUGCUGCUAGUAUGCCUGCACGUAACCUCCACCACGACGCAGUGAGAUCAUUCGCACCUGCCUCGCCUGUAGUAGGAGAAGGAAGGUGAGGAGGCAGGGUUUCUAGGAGAGAGGCAGCACUUCCCAGCUGCUGCCAAGAUGCUGUUUAUUGGCAAAUGAAGCCUCCUGGGCCCCUAAACAACCUUCCCAGAGGAAGAUAAAGUCGCAGCUGCCAUAUGGGGAGUGGGAAGAGGAUGCCACUUAGCAAAAGCGGAUCAGAAAAUACAUGCACAAACACACACGCUCACACACACAAUUUGUUCUGCAACUGUGCUGAAUGGCAACAGCCAUUUCUUCCUCUUAAAAAAAUCUUCCUGCACGCAGCUUAUGCAACCUGCUGGAUGGCCAGCACGGACGCCGAGUGCUCCUGGACACAGCUCCCAGGGAGCUGGGCAGGACGAAGCCUUGAUCACCAGACAAGGAGCUCGGUGAAAAUCCAAACCACCGAGCCACUGCGGGCUGGCAGACUGCUUCUAAAACCACGAACUGGGGAUGAACAGCAAAUGUUGAUGGGGAUAAGACAGAUCCCACAAUAGUAGCGCCUUUGAAAACUCUUUGCCUCCACUCCCCCAGUUGUACAGCUGGAAAUAUUGCCAUCCGCCCCCUUUUCAGGGCCGCCACAGGCUCUCAUCCACUUACUUGUGGCAUUCUGGAUGAAAAUACCUCACAACUUGAAACUUUGCAAAGGCAGAACUGCAAAGGAGUAUUUUGAACAUACAAAGGAACACGGUGCCACCUUCGCAAGGACAAAAGUCUGCGCACAAAUACUUCCUGAGUGGCUCUGAGUUUCCCAGAGAGAAAGCGCUGAAUGCAACCUCGUGUCUGCGCUUCAUCUCUCCCACUCGAGCAGCCAGGAGCAUUUUCUGUGAAGUGCUUUUGUCCACCGCCUGUCUUUGCCUGCUUUCACUCGGUCCUGGCGGUGCUGCUGAUUCAGUGUACCCUCUUCAGAUGUCCUGCUUGGAGAGCAGGCGCUGAUUUUUAUAGGGCUACGUCCUGGCUGGAGCACGGGCUGGCUCCGUGGGCAGACAGGUGAUAAAACACAUCAACACUCGGGAUCUUUAAAUGGAAACAGCCCAGCUGUCUAUUUUAGUCCCAGGUGCAGGCAGAAGUUUGAUUUAUCACACGAGCAACAGCUUUUUGGUAGGGGUGGAUCUUGCUACAGGACCUAAUGAAAACUCACUUCUUGCCGAGGAAUUCCUGGCCGUAUAAAGGGUCAUUUACCGAGGUCAGGAGCGCUUAUAUAGAGCAGAAAGAAUAAUUUCCUCCACUACAGCAAUUACCGGCAAAAAUCAAUGACCCCUGUUAAGCUGGAGGCUAAGCCAAAUGUGCAAUGAUGGAUUUGGCAGCCGCUCUCUCACCAGCCACCCCCAGUCAGCUGAGCCGCUCCGUCUCCGCCACAGGGGGAUGCGAAAGCUUCUCUCUCCCCCUUCUGAGAUGGGCGAUGGUUCCUCUGUCAGAAACACUGAGGUUAGACAACAAGGAAGGUCUCGAGGAAGCUGCAGGAGCAAGUUCAUCUCUAUUUUCAAAGCAUACAGGUGGUGGCAGAGACCUGCCUGCGCGAAGGGGCUGCAAUCCCAUCACCUCAAAACCAAGCACCGUGCUUCAAUGAACUCCUUCCUCAUUCUUAUGCCGUGGACCAAAAGCAUUCAAAGUGAAAAACUUUUCCCUGCAUUUGUUUUGAAACCUUGGCACGACAUUACAAGCAUCACUGAAGUACAAACCAGGACUCGGCAGCAGCCAGCCCUGCACCCCGCUGCUCAGCAUGCCUCGCGGUACCCAGCAGACAUUUGACUUAAGAACCCAAGAAUCUCAUUGCUCAAACGCUGUAUUAAAUCCCUAAGCCUAAAAAUGGUUUUCAGUAAUGCGUGAGCUGCUCUGGGGCGUCGGAAAAGCUACCCUGGGAGCUAGGACACAUUUCCUAGGAGGCAGAAAUGUGAUCAGAAACGUAUUUGAUAAAAAGAAGGCGGCAUAAUGAUGGGUUUUAACUGCAGUUCUAUUUUAUUUCAUCUCAGAAGCAUGAUGUAAGUUUAAGAGAGGGGAACAACUGGAUUUUGUUUUGAAUUUUUUUUUUAAACUUUUCUUUUCUAGGGUGAUUUUUUUCCCCCCUAAAUCUAAUAAACUAUAUAUUGGAAUGACCUUGUAACGGGUUUCUGUGGCUCUUUAAUCACCAGUGGCUGCUAAAUGAAGCAUAUCUAUUUUCUCUGUUACAUUACUAUUGGCAACCAGGUCUUCAGUAAGUGCCCAGAAAUAUUUCCAUGGCAACAAAAAGCAUUCAGCAUCGCAACUGUUUUGUGCCAAUUUAGCUUUAAAAUAUUCUAUUGUGGAGAGAAAUAUGGUACAUUAAGUGAAAUAAAGUCAAGAUGCAAUGUUCUGAAAGAAUAUAAGGAUAAACAGGAUACAUGUAUUUGGUGGAAACGAGGAAAAAAUGCCAAAUGCAAGGAAAAAUGCUCCAAGCUAAUAGCGAUGC